UUAAGGAGAAUAGCUGGAGAUGGG
rnacentral:piRNA from 1 species